rnacentral:rRNA from 1 species
GACGAACGCUGGCGGCGUGCUUAACACAUGCAAGUCGAGCGGUAAGGCCUUUCGGGGUACACGAGCGGCGAACGGGUGAGUAACACGUGGGUGAUCUGCCUUGCACUUCGGGAUAAGCCUGGGAAACUGGGUCUAAUACCGGAUAUGACCUCCUAUCGCAUGGUGGGUGGUGGAAAGAUUUAUCGGUGCAGGAUGGGCCCGCGGCCUAUCAGCUUGUUGGUGGGGUAAUGGCCUACCAAGGCGACGACGGGUAGCCGACCUGAGAGGGUGACCGGCCACACUGGGACUGAGACACGGCCCAGACUCCUACGGGAGGCAGCAGUGGGGAAUAUUGCACAAUGGGCGAAAGCCUGAUGCAGCGACGCCGCGUGAGGGAUGACGGCCUUCGGGUUGUAAACCUCUUUCAGCAGGGACGAAGCGCAAGUGACGGUACCUGCAGAAGAAGCACCGGCUAACUACGUG